rnacentral:rRNA from 1 species
UCCGGAGGGAGCUAGCGUUGUUCGGAAUUACUGGGCGUAAAGCGCACGUAGGCGGCUUUGUAAGUUAGAGGUGAAAGCCCGGGGCUCAACCCCGGAAUUGCCUUUAAGACUGCAUCGCUUGAAUCCGGGAGAGGUGAGUGGAAUUCCGAGUGUAGAGGUGAAAUUCGUAGAUAUUCGGAAGAACACCAGUGGCGAAGGCGGCUCACUGGCCCGGUACUGACGCUGAUAUACGAAAGCGUGGGGAGCAAACAGG